rnacentral:rRNA from 1 species
AUUGAACGCUGGCGGCAGGCUUAACACAUGCAAGUCGAGCGAGAGGCGGACGGGUGAGUAAUGUCUGGGAAACUGACUGAUGAAGGGGGAUAACUACUGGAAAAGGAAGGUAAUUCCGCAAACCAUCAGAUGUGACCAGAUGGGAUGAGCGAGUAGGUGGGGAAAUGGCUCAACUAGGCGACGAUCCAUAGCUGGUCUGCGAGGAGGACCAGCCACACUGGAACUGAGACACGGUCAAGACUCCUACGGGAGGCAGAGGGGGGGAAUAUGGGCAAAUGGGCGCAAGCCUGAUGCAGCCAGGCCGAGUGUGUGAAGAGGGCCUUGGGUUUGUAAAGCACUUUCAGCGAGGAGGCGUUACUCGCAGAAGAAGCACCGGCUAACUCCGUGCCAGCAGCCGCGGUAAUAC